rnacentral:rRNA from 1 species
GUCCACGCCGUAAACGAUGGAUACUAGCUGUUGGGGGCAACUUCAGUGGCUAAGCGAAAGUGAUAAGUAUCCCACCUGGGGAGUACGAACGCAAGUUUGAAACUCAAAGGAAUUGACGGGGCCCGCACAAGCGGUGGAGCAUGUGGUUUAAUUCGAUGAUACGCGAGGAACCUUACCAAGGCUUAAAUGUAGAUUGACCGGUUUUGGAAACAGACUUUUUCGCAAGACAAUUUACAAGGUGCUGCAUGGUUGUCGU